CUUUUCUUCGGAAGCACAUGUACUAAAAUUGAAUGAUAUAGAGAAGAUUAGCAUGGCCCUGUGCAAGCAUGACAUGGCAACUUGUGAAUCAUUCUAUAUUUUU